rnacentral:rRNA from 1 species
CCCCUAGAUGUUCUGGGCCGCACGCGCGCUACACUGAACAGUUCAACAAGUCUUAACCUUGGCCGAUAGGUCUGGGUAAUCUUUGAACGCUGUUCGUGAUUGGGAUAGACCUUUGCAAUUAUGGGUCUUCAACGAGGAAUUCCUAGUAAACGCAAGUCAUCAGCUUGCAUUGAUUACGUCCCUGCCCUUUGUACACACCGCCCGUCGCACCUACCGAUUGAAUGGUCCGGUGAAAUCUCGGGACGGCGGCUUGGUCGCUUGCGUCCGACUGCUGAAACUUGAUUAAACCAUAUCACUUAGAGGAAGGAGAAGUCGUANCA